UCUCUCUGAAUCUGCGAACGGCUCCGCAAACCAGUUGUAAACCAUAGCAAGCAUGCCUCGGACCCGCCGCAAGGCGGGACCUUGGCUAUAAGGAUAACCCUGGUAAUUCUGAGGCUAAUACAUGAACGUACCCCCUGGCCGACGGGCAACUGGAAGCCGGGGACCGUGCGAGUAGACGCAUUGGAUAAUCGGGAGUAGUCGCACAGUACGACCACCAUACCAAACGGUAUCCGCUUCGCUCCUCACGGGGCCGGUGGUGUCCGGGUGGCUCUUGCAAGGUGCUUCUGACCUAUCAACUAGAUGGCAGCGUAACGGACAUGCUAUGGUGACAACGGGUACAGAGGAUAAGGGUUCGAUCCUGGAGAGUGGGCCUGAGAGAUUGCUCACACUUCUAAGGAAGGCAGCAGGCGCGCAACGUUCCCCUUGGGCAAUGCUCGAGGGCGUUAGGGGACAUAUGAAUGCCUGCCUUAUGGUGGGCAAUUCAAAUGGGUCUGUUCUAAACAGCCUCUCGA
rnacentral:rRNA from 1 species